UGUUAAAAUGUUUGCUUGUUUUCUAUAGGUGUGCAUCAUUUCACAGUUAUUGGCAAUGGUUCAAUGGUUUCAUCUGCUUUGAACAGUUUCUUCUCCAUCAUUAAGAGGAAUGGUUUAUGUAAUUUCUUCAAUCAACAGAAGUGGAAGCCUGAGUGUAAACCGAUGAAGAAUACUAAAGGUUGACCCUUGGUUUCUCCUUCAGCUGAACUUCUGGUCGUGUAAGUUGUUACAGAUUUCCAGUCCUGGUUUAUAUCAUUUCAAUAAAUAGUUGGUCUUGA
rnacentral:lncRNA from 1 species